rnacentral:misc_RNA from 1 species
GGUCUAUUUUCGGUUCCGAUUCCAAAUUGGAUUGUGGCCAAGUCUACCGCAAAUAUAAGAUAAACUAUUUGUCUUUAUCUUGUCAUGUCUUGUCCCUCACACCAAAUGUAGCGUAUUGUAAUUGUUUGUGAACAUUGAGAAAUGUAAUGCAAUUUGUGCAAGGAUAUUAAACAUUUUGGACCUUUUCAUAGGUUUCGUGUUCUAGGUUGACUUGGACAUUGAAUGAGACAGUGGAGAAAGAAAUGAGUUCGUUCAAUUAGAAAAAUU